GCGCAUGGUCUUCGGUAGCUGCGUCUUGCAAAAGUUAUAUAUACUCAUUGGUCUUGUGCCUAGGGAUGGGAUGCGCACGCGCAGUGGGCCAAUCUCGCCAGUAUUUCAGCGGCAUCAUUGUGACCUCGGAGUAAAGAUGAGAUUGUGAUGUCAUGUUAUUCGACAGGUUGGGCUUGUCACUGCAUUACAUAAAGCCACGUACAACGGUAACAAGUAAGCAACAAGUAAAAAUGUUUCAUGGCAAAGAAUUAUGGCAGGUUGUUUCCAUGGCCUCCCGCUGGACCAGGGCAUCUUGCAGCCUUACAUUAAACUUGUACAGAUGGAAUAAGACUUUCAUACAUACAUCAUCAUGUCACAGAAAGUGUGAGCUGACUUCUAAAAGGUAUCAGGUGAAGAGAGGAAACUACAAUCAGAUAAAUGACCAAAACAUCAAAUUCUUUACUGAACUCUUGGGUCCACACCGAAUUAUUGAAGGUGAAUCAGAGCUAGAAGGUCACAACACAGACUGGCUGGACACUGUGCGGGGAGUGUCUUCUGUUCUUCUUAAACCCAAGACAACCGAAGAAGUGUCUGCAAUCUUGACUUACUGCAAUCAGCACAGACUUGCAGUAUGUCCCCAAGGUGGUAACACUGGACUGGUUGGUGGAAGUGUUCCAGUAUUUGAUGAAAUUAUCAUCUCAACAAACUUGAUGAAUAAGGUUGAAAAUGUAGACACUUGGUCAGGUGUUGUUACAUGUCAGUCUGGGUGUGUUCUUGAAGCCUUGGAUCAGCAUGUGGCUGACUUUGGAUUAAUGGUCCCUCUGGAUCUUGGAGCAAAAGGCAGCUGUCACAUCGGUGGCAAUGUGUCAACUAAUGCAGGAGGCUUACGCCUGCUUCGCUAUGGAAACCUUCAUGGAUCUGUCCUGGGUGUGGAGGCAGUGUUGGCCUCAGGAGAAGUGGUUGACUGCAUGACAGCCAUGAAGAAAGAUAAUACUGGUUAUGACCUCAAGCAUUUAUUUAUUGGUUCUGAAGGAACAUUGGGAUUAGUUACAAAGAUUGCAAUCCAUUGUCCAUCAAGGCCACAAGCUGUCAAUCUUGCCUUCUUAGGUCUCAGCUCUUAUGAAAAUGUUCUCAAAACCUACGUUGCAGCAAAGAGCAAGCUUGGAGAAAUCUUGAGCUCUUGUGAAUUUAUUGACAGAUCAUCUCUUGAAUGUGUAGAAGAAAACUUAAAACUAAAGCCACCAAUUUCAUCACAUGAAUAUUACAUGUUAAUUGAGACUUCAGGAUCAAAUGGAACACAUGAUGAAGAAAAGUUAAAUAUCUUCCUAGAAGAUGUUCUUGGGUCAGGAAUAGUUGAUGAUGGCACUGUGGCCUCUGAACCCUCCAGAAUGCUGCACAUAUGGGGUCUGAGGGAGAGGAUUGCAGAGGCCCUUCACCAUGAAGGCUACACCUACAAAUAUGAGGGAGCACUUGGGAUCUAAGAUCAUUCGCUGCUGUGGCUAUGGACACAUUGGGGAUGGAAAUCUCCACCUCAACAUCACAACAGAAGAGUUUGAUAAGGAAGUGCUGAAUCACAUUGAGCCGGCAGUGUAUGAGUGGACAUCAAAAGUAAAGGGAAGCAUAAGUGCUGAGCAUGGUCUAGGAUUCAAAAAGAGGAAUUACAUACAUUACUCAAAAUCAUCUGGUGCAGUAACUAUUAUGAAGCAAA
rnacentral:misc_RNA from 1 species